AAUUGUUCGCAAUGGGCGCAAGCCUGACGACGCAACGCCGCGUGGAGGAUGAAGAAUUUCGGUUCGUAAACUCCUGUCGAGCGGGACGAAAGAUGCGCGGGUUAAUACCCCGCGCAAGUGACGGUACCGCUAAAGGAAGCCCCGGCUAACUCCGUGCCAGCAGCCGCGGUAAUACGGGGGGGGCAAGCGUUGUUCGGAAUUACUGGGCGUAAAGGGCGCGUAGGUGGCCCGACAAGUCAGUGGUGAAAGCUCGAUGCUUAACAUCGAGUCGGCCACUGAUACUGUUGGGCUGGAGCACUGUAGAGGCUCAUGGAAUUCCGGGUGUAGCGGUGGAAUGCGUAGAGAUCCGGAAGAACACCGGUGGCGAAGGCGGUGAGCUGGGCAGUUGCUGACACUGAGACGCGACAGCGUGGGGAGCAAAC
rnacentral:rRNA from 1 species